rnacentral:lncRNA from 1 species
GUAUGUAUGGCUUCCUCCACCAUGUAUUUGAGAACACUAUGAUGAAACAGUGGAGAUAGUAGUGAAAGAGCGCGUAGAGAUUGGUAAAGAAAGUGAUGAAGUUGCUUUGCCUACCACGAAAGAAAAGAAGAAGCAUCGCCAAGGAUGCUCUCUGUCUCUUCUUUAACCUCUAAUAACACAAAUACAUAUCAAUGUUUUCAGCUUCAACAACCAAGAAUGUGAUAUUAAUUAAUACAUAUGCAACUAAAGAUUGAGUAUGAGUACAUUGUAAAGGUGGGGUUUGAAGCUGCAUUAAAGUAAUAAACCAUAGAAGGAAGAAAAAAACAAAACUUUGACAUAAUCCCAGAUUCUCUAAAACCUAGUAGAAACCUGUUUGAAAAGACUGAAACACAAACCAACAAGUGAUUCAGCAAUACUGGCUGCAUCAUUCGGGUUUCUUGGUUCCUGUGAUCUUUAGAGCACCUUCGUCCACCAACACUUGCAGCUCUUCCUUAGCCAUCUCACGCACUUGAUCAUCUUGAGUCUCUAAGAAAGCAUAUAAUAUCCUUGAACUGCAGAUAAAGAGGAGAUUGAACACAAAUUCAGAUUUUAAGGACUUGCUUGUUUGCAAAUAAAAUGGAUAAAUGAGUGAAGUGAUUAGAGGCUAACCAGUGUCCUUGAGCCCAUGACCGACACUUUCCAGACAAGGCCUUCUUAAAAAGAAUGGAAGCAAAAGUAGGGAUGUCCAAGACCAGCCUUCUAAUUGUUCGGCAUGAGUGAAAGUCUUCCAGGAUGUGCUGUGAACUCUUUUCUGAUUCUUCAGGUUUCGGCUCUGCUGCUGCAGAGGCAAUGGCUUGGUACAGCUCACGCAGAUUCUCACUCAAAGUUAGCAAAAGAAUACCAUCACAGCCUCCCACGGCCACCUGAUAUAUAAUAAAACAUGACAAUACAGAAUGAGACAACUGGAAACUUGCAUCUGUUGAAGGGAGGAGAUCAGAGCAUACAAAUACUGUAUAUACCCUAACAAAUAUGGUAACACAACCAUUUAACUCGUAGAGAUUGGUAAAGAAAGUGAUGAAGUUGCUUUGCCUACCACGAAAGAAAAGAAGAAGCAUCGCCAAGGAUGCUCUCUGUCUCUUCUUUAACCUCUAAUAACACAAAUACAUAUCAAUGUUUUCAGCUUCAACAACCAAGAAUGUGAUAUUAAUUAAUACAUAUGCAACUAAAGAUUGAGUAUGAGUACAUUGUAAAGGUGGGGUUUGAAGCUG